GACCGCUUAGCUCAGUUGGCUAGAGCGCUUCAUUGACAUUGAAGAGGUCAGGGGUUCGAGUCCCUUAGCGGUCA
rnacentral:tRNA from 1 species